rnacentral:rRNA from 1 species
AUGCAGAUUGCUCUGACGAUUCUCCAAGAAUCCAGAGACGGGGGUAGCAACCCAAAAAAAAGAGAAGUGGUUGCUCAGCAUGCUGAUCUUUUCAGGGCGGAUCACCGAAGGGGUGCUGCAUGCAGAUUGCUCUUGCGAUUCUCCGAGAAUCCAAAGAGUGUCAUGAUUGUGUUUACGGAAGAAAUCUCGUCUCGGAAAAUGUGUUUGUUCCUUUCCAGCCAUAUCUCCCAAGUGAUCAUGAUCAUGAGGGAUUUGGCACCUUUAGCAUUGUCUGCUGUCGUUGAGCUUGAGAUCGCUUCCCAAAACCCUAGUGAAUUUUUAACCUCCGGCCAUGCUUGGGGGUUCAGCGCCCAACACCCCAGCCAGAGCGAGGCCCGCCUACAAAUUUCCUUUGCCCCUGGGCAUUGCCAGAAUAGGUGCAUGGAGGUCUCAAGAUUCCGGGUCCAGAGAGGGCAGAAGUAUUCAUUCGGCCAGCCACGACGUAGCAGCUGA